GACGAACGCUGGCGGCGUGCUUAACACAUGCAAGUCGAACGGAAAGGCCCUGCUUUUGUGGGGUGCUCGAGUGGCGAACGGGUGAGUAACACGUGAGUAACCUGCCCUUGACUUUGGGAUAACUUCAGGAAACUGGGGCUAAUACUGGAUAGGAGCUCCUGCUGCAUGGUGGGGGUUGGAAAGUUUCGGCGGUUGGGGAUGGACUCGCGGCUUAUCAGCUUGUUGGUGGGGUAGUGGCUUACCAAGGCUUUGACGGGUAGCCGGCCUGAGAGGGUGACCGGCCACAUUGGGACUGAGAUACGGCCCAGACUCCUACGGGAGGCAGCAGUGGGGAAUAUUGCACAAUGGGCGGAAGCCUGAUGCAGCAACGCCGCGUGCGGGAUGACGGCCGUCGGGUUGUAAACCGCUUUCGCCUGUGACGAAGCGUGAGUGACGGUAAUGGGUAAAGAAGCACCGGCUAACUACGUG
rnacentral:rRNA from 1 species